rnacentral:rRNA from 1 species
AACCAGCACCUCAAGUGGUCAGGAUGAUUAUUGGGCCUAAAGCAUCCGUAGCCGGCUCUGUAAGUUUUCGGUUAAAUCUGUACGCUUAACGUACAGGCUGCCGGGAAUACUGCAGAGCUAGGGAGUGGGAGAGGUAGACGGUACUCGGUAGGAAGGGGUAAAAUCCUUUGAUCUAUUGAUGACCACCUGUGGCGAAGGCGGUCUACCAGAACACGUCCGACGGUGAGGGAUGAAAGCUGGGGGAGCAAACCGGAUUAGAUACCCCCGUA